UACGGGGGGAGCAAGCGUUGUUCGGAUUUACUGGGCGUAAAGGGCGCGUAGGCGGUCAGCACAAGUCAGUUGUGAAAUCCCCGGGCUUAACUCGGAAAGGUCAACUGAUACUGUGCGACUAGAGUGCGGAAGGGGCAACUGGAAUUCUCGGUGUAGCGGUGAAAUGCGUAGAUAUCGAGAGGAACACCUGCGGCGAAGGCGGGUUGCUGGGCCGACACUGACGCUGAUGCGCGAAAGCCAGGGGAGACGAACGGG
rnacentral:rRNA from 1 species